GCAGCAAUCAAACCUUUUAGUGACGGAUCCUUUCGACACGCUGACGUUGGUUUCGCUGCCCUUCAGUGCUGCUGUGGACGAGGCUGCUGCGGGGUCCAUAUUCUGAGAGGCCAUGGCGUAAGAUCUGCGAAGGUGAGUGCAGUCGACAAAACUAACCGAUCGAUCGACGAAA